AGUGAACGCUGGCGGUAGGCCUAACACAUGCAAGUCGAACGGCAGCACAGUAAGAGCUUGCUCUUACGGGUGGCGAGUGGCGGACGGGUGAGGAAUACAUCGGGAUCUACUUUUUCGUGGGGGAUAACGUAGGGAAACUUACGCUAAUACCGCAUACGACCUACGGGUGAAAGCAGGGGAUCUUCGGACCUUGCGCGAUUGAAUGGGCCGAUGUCGGAUUAGCUAGUUGGCGGGGUAAAGGCCCACCAAGGCGACGAUCCGUAGCUGGUCUGAGAGGAUGAUCAGCCACACUGGAACUGAGACACGGUCCAGACUCCUACGGGAGGCAGCAGUGGGGAAUAUUGGACAAUGGGCGCAAGCCUUAUCCAGCCAUACCGCGUGGGUGAAGAAGGCCUUCGGGUUGCAAAGCCCUUUUGUUGGGAAAGAAAAGCAGCAGGUUAAUACCCCGCUGUUCUGACGGUACCCAAAGAAUAAGCACCGGCUAACUUCGUG
rnacentral:rRNA from 1 species